rnacentral:rRNA from 1 species
UACGGAGGGGGCUAGCGUUGUUCGGAAUUACUGGGCGUAAAGCGCACGUAGGCGGCUUUGUAAGUUAGAGGUGAAAGCCCGGGGCUCAACUCCGGAAUUGCCUUUAAGACUGCAUCGCUAGAAUUGUGGAGAGGUAAGUGGAAUUCCGCGUGUAGUGGUGAAAUGCGUAGAGAUGCGGAGGAACACCAGUGGCGAAAGCGGCUUUCUGGUCCUUAACUGACGCUGAGGCGCGAAAGCAUGGGGAGCGAACGGG